AGCUGUUACUUUAACUACUAAGUUACUAAAAUCUUGAUUUAUAAACGCAACAUCGCAGACAAUUCAGCGCAAAUAAAAAAAUUGCCAUUACACAGAGUUACUACAGAAGGCAUGCGCGGGCAUAGGAGAGAGUGAGCUCGCGCACAAGCACAGAGAACCAGUGUGUGUGGGAAAACACUGCUAACCUUUCAUGAUAAACUCGAAUCGGUUGUCUUCUCUGUCAGUAACAUCUGACGUUUACGUGAAAAUGCAAGUACACAGAGGAAUCCGCAUGGAAAACACAGCCAACUUUUAAUUCUUUCACUCAGUGUCAUGUGUGAGAGGCGCUGUCGAGGGGCUUCACGCAGAGAGAGCGCGCGCACACACAAGAGGGGCACCACCGAGCGCUCACAACAAUAAAUGAAGCCGUUUUAAAUAAAAAUGUAAAUGUUGCGGCCAUUGUUGAUUUUGUGGCGCACACAAACAAAUCAAUGCAUUUUACGCAUGUCAACGUAUUUUCGUAGUCGACGUAAUCGAUGACGUUGACGCGUCGUUGCAGCACUAAUGUAAAUAUUCCUAUAGACAUUUCCUGGAAGAGCGUUUGUAAUGCUGUUACUUCUGUGGCACUAAGGGAGUUUCUGCACAAGAGCACCCCCUGGCUUUGGGAUGUGCCGGGAUUUCACUGUGGCUGCAUCCGAAAACUUAGGCAAUGACUUCGGAGGCAUGAAGGCAGCUCAGAGAAACGCUUUCGGACACACUUAAAAGGAAAUAUAAAGUUUGAAAUAUAAACAGAGAGCGCCUUUGUGAUAACUAAUCACAUAUUUGAAAACUAAAAUACUUAUCACUACAAAAUGCAAUUAAACGUGUAAGAAGUGAAAAUAUAAAUUUAUUUACACUAAAUGUGUGCUCCAGCCGCUUGCUUGGCCGCCAUUUUAUUUUUUUCUAACUCGACCAGGCUCGACCAAUCACAAUCCCCAUACGAGCGUACACAUAGAAUUGUGGGACAAGAUCUUAGGAUUCAGGAAGUAAACCUAACAUUGGUUUCGGACAUGCCUUGAUGCCUUCCUGCCUUGAAAUGCUGCCACAGAAAGCAGCAAUUUUGAACGCAGCCCAUAAUUCAUUAAAAUUCAUUCAUUGAGAAAAUGCACAUUUGCAUGAUUAAUCGUGACAGCCCUACUGCUUAUCAUUAUUGUUUUUUAGUAAACAAGAUUAUGUACAGCGGAUUUAAAGUGUCUACACAUCCUUUUUAAAUGGCAGGUUUUAUGAUGUCUAAAUGAAAUGACACCAAGAUGACUCAUGUUUAAACCUGUUCCACCUUUAUUGUGAAAUUGUAACCUGUAUAUUAGGAUAAGUGGAGGAACAUGAAAAAUAAAAAUCAUACAAUAACCUGGUUGCGAAAGUGUGCACACCCCUACUUAGUUGUAGCGCAUUUUAGAUUUUAUCACAGCAUGUAAUCAUUGUGGGUAAGAGUUAGUUUUUUCCUUGUAAAAGCACUCUAACUCUGUCAGUUUUGUUUGGCAUCUCUUGUGCACAACCACCUUCAGGUCACCCCACAGAUCUAAACUCUGGCUUGGACAUUACAAAACUUUUUUGAAAGAUUCGCAGCAGGACACAUCCUUCUACACUGUAGGCAGAGGUGUAAAAAGUACUUAAAAAUGUUACUCAAGUGAAAGUACAAGUACUGAGUGUAAAUUUUACUCAAUUAAAAGUAAAAGUAUCUGGCCAGAAUUAUACUUGAGUAAAAGUAAAAAAGUACUACAUUAAAAUUGUACUUGAGUAUUAAAAAAGUAAAAGUAACAGGAAGAAUAAAAACGAGAGAUUCAUGUUUAAGCUUUUAAUCUCUAAAAACAUGAAGUGAAUGAACCACAUAUGGUAUUAACUGUUUGUGUUAAAUUGUAUUUCAUUAUCAAACUAUAAGACUACUAAAUAAUUUCCAACAUGUUCUCACAAAGUUCUGUGAUAUAGAUACAGAAAUUUUUGCCCAUUUAUUUGUGUCAUUGACACGGAUCUCAGCAUUUUUUCUGUGUGCGUGUACCACCGACUUUCUUUUCCGUGUCGGUUUCAUGUAUUGAUUACUCAAUUGUUUUUCCUAUUUUAAAACCAUUUUCACGUGGGUUUGGGGUUAGAUUUGGGGUUUGGGUUAGGAUGUCACUUUAACUAUUGGUUUAUACAAUUUUUUCCAGACAAUUGUCGCCUGAUGUUAGGGUUAGGAGUUGGGUUUGGAUGUCAUUUUAUGUUACAGAAAGUCAUUCUAACCCCAAACCCAGGCGAAAAUGGAAAGAAAAUAGGAAAAACAAUUGAGUAACCAAUACGUGAAACUGACACGGAAAAGAAAGUCGGUCGUACAGACAAAGAAAAAUGCGGAGAUCCGUGACAAUGACAAUGAAUUUCAGUAUGCAACAUGCUACUCAAAAUUGUAAAACCUCGAAUUUAACUUAAAUUUCAAGUUCUAUCAAGCCUCUCACAGGCAGCCGAUUGAUCACACUGUCGGUCCAAAUCCGAUUUUGGUGCAUAUCCAAUAGAAAUCCAAUCACAUUCACAACGUGUGAACGGCUAAAAACCACAUGAAAUCAGUUUUUUUCUAAUCCGUUUCAGGCUGCAUCCAGAGGUGGUUUGAAAUCCUUUUCAAAACGCAUUUCCGGAAAUCCAUUUCAGUCUGACCGCCCUGAUCGCAUUUGUGUAGCUUUUCGGUUACGUCAUGCUGUCACUUCACAUGAAACACGUCAUACGUUGAGGCAGAUUGUCGUGCCAGUGUGACGUCAUUUGCCAUAAAACAGUGCAGAUAAUCCGGUAAACGGCUACAGGACGCACAGAUUGGAUCUGAACAGUUGUGAUACACAAUGUGGACAGUGAGUCUGUCAAAUUAGAUAUGCACCAAAAUCAGAUUUGAACUGACAGUGUGAACAAGGUAUUAGUCUUGAAAGAGAGGCUGCCAACAGCAGGGAACGUGUUACACUUCAUGUGUUGUCGGUUUCAAAGAAGCGAAGAAAUCUUCAUCAUUAGAUGAUUAGACUGUUGGCCAAUUCCUUAGUGUGGCCCAAAGGCUCCAGAAUAAAUAACAUUUAAAUUAAACUGGCCAUCAGCGCAAUUCAAUUGGUUUGAUAAAGCAAGGGAAAACAGAUCUCUAAAAUAGAAGUACUUUUUGACUGUAAAUAAAAUUGUAAGGAGUAAAAAGUACUUUUUUUCUUUAAAACAUGUAAUUAAGUAAAAGUAUUGAUUUAUAAUUGUACUCAAGUAAAGUAAAAAUCUCCAAAAAUAAUACUUAAGUACAGUAAUCAAGUAAAAUUACUCAAGUACUUUACACCUCUGACUGUAGGCAGCAGUAGACGUGAUGUAUAAUGCCAAACAUGCAACAUCAGUGGGCACACAGUACGAGAAGUCAGACUGGCAUAUGAGGAGUAAAGGUUGUACCUUGCAGCCACCCAUUACAAUGUCACCAAGCUGUAACAAAAGCAGGAGAAGUUAUGUUUCCAAAGUCUAAAUGGGGAAAUACAUUGCAAGGCCAGUAAAAACACAAGCAAGAUACUUUAUGUGGAUGACGUGAUCAGACUUGUUUUUCGAUGAGGUAUUCGAAGAUAAGCUGAAGGAAACCCCGAUUCCAAUGGACCUGGCAUCACAGUUUGAGAGACCUUCAAAGGAAGACUUGAUUGAAUGCCAUCUCACGUGCUUCAGUGUAGGGGUCGUCGGAAGCCAACAUACUGACCAGUCUGAUCAGGAAGCUCCAAGCAUAUCUGGAGAACAACACACGAUAGGUUUGAUAACCAUAUAGUGUCGUCUUUGAUAUGCCAUUUAUCUGUAUAGAUAGCUGUAUAAUUUUUUUUAAAGAAGAGCACAGUAUGGUUACUAAAGUAUGUUUAUUUGUAUACUGUUUAACAUCUAAAUAUAUAUUUAUAAUAAAUAAAAAACUUUU